GACGAACGCUGGCGGCGUGCUUAACACAUGCAAGUCGAACGGAAAGGCCCUGCUUUUGUGGGGUGCUCGAGUGGCGAACGGGUGAGUAACACGUGAGUAACCUGCCCUUGACUUUGGGAUAACUUCAGGAAACUGGGGCUAAUACCGGAUAGGAGCUCCUGCUGCAUGGUGGGGGUUGGAAAGUUUCGGCGGUUGGGGAUGGACUCGCGGCUUAUCAGCUUGUUGGUGGGGUAGUGGCUUACCAAGGCUUUGACGGGUAGCCGGCCUGAGAGGGUGACCGGCCACAUUGGGACUGAGAUACGGCCCAGACUCCUACGGGAGGCAGCAGUGGGGAAUAUUGCACAAUGGGCGGAAGCCUGAUGCAGCAACGCCGCGUGCGGGAUGACGGCCUUCGGGUUGUAAACCGCUUUCGCCUGUGACGAAGCGUGAGUGACGGUAAUGGGUAAAGAAGCACCGGCUAACUACGUGCCAGCAGCCGCGGUGAUACGUAGGGUGCGAGCGUUGUCCGGAUUUAUUGGGCGUAAAGGGCUCGUAGGUGGUUGAUCGCGUCGGAAGUGUAAUCUUGGGGCUUAACCCUGAGCGUGCUUUCGAUACGGGUUGACUUGAGGAAGGUAGGGGAGAAUGGAAUUCCUGGUGGAGCGGUGGAAUGCGCAGAUAUCAGGAGGAACACCAGUGGCGAAGGCGGUUCUCUGGGCCUUUCCUGACGCUGAGGAGCGAAAGCGUGGGGAGCGAACAGGCUUAGAUACCCUGGUAGUCCACGCUGUAAACGGUGGGUACUAGGUGUGGGGUCCAUUCCACGGGUUCCGUGCCGUAGCUAACGCUUUAAGUACCCCGCCUGGGGAGUACGGCCGCAAGGCUAAAACUCAAAGGAAUUGACGGGGCCCCGCACAAGCGGCGGAGCAUGCGGAUUAAUUCGAUGCAACGCGUAGAACCUUACCUGGGUUUGACAUGGAUCGGGAGCGCUCAGAGAUGGGUGUGCCUCUUUUGGGGUCGGUUCACAGGUGGUGCAUGGCUGUCGUCAGCUCGUGUCGUGAGAUGUUGGGUUAAGUCCCGCAACGAGCGCAACCCUUGUUCACUGUUGCCAGCACGUUAUGGUGGGGACUCAGUGGAGACCGCCGGGGUCAACUCGGAGGAGGGUGGGGAUGACGUCAAGUCAUCAUGCCCCUUAUGUCCAGGGCUUCACGCAUGCUACAAUGGCUGGUACAGAGAGUGGCGAGCCUGUGAGGGUGAGCGAAUCUCGGAAAGCCGGUCUCAGUUCGGAUUGGGGUCUGCAACUCGACCUCAUGAAGUCGGAGUCGCUAGUAAUCGCAGAUCAGCAACGCUGCGGAGAAUACGUUCCCGGG
rnacentral:rRNA from 1 species